UCCUUUUUUAUUAACGAUUGCUACGAUCGUCUUCUUCCUCCAACAUUUCCAUUCUUCCAUCAACAGAAGAGGUCGCAGAUAAAAGGCGGGAGCUGAUUUAUCAAUAUGAGUUUUAUCUUCCGCAAGGAGAAAACCCCAGCAGAGCUACUGCUGGGGAAUAAGAGAAUGUUUGAUAGAUCAAUCAGGGACAUUGAGAGGAAGAAGCAAGGGCUGCAAGCAGAGGAGGAAAAGCUCAUCGCUGAGAUGGCAGCUGUAAAAGUCAUGACAAAACAUCUUAUCAGAACAAACAUCAGAUUACAAAGUUUUAUGCCCUCAAUCACAGCUCCAAGGUGUAUCUCUUAGAAUUCAGCUUACUGGAACACACUACUAGGAUAAGGUUAUUGGCAGCUUUUAAUGAGAUCUCUGUUGCAGAGGAAUUGUUGGUGAGGACCUACAAGCCCACAUGAGAUUCAGAUGUAUACAUAAAGAAGGUGGAAUGAACAGACAGUUCAGGAGCAAGGUUGUGUGCAGUUGCACCAUUUGGAAGAUGGCUCAAAUGGUGCUGCCCACCUGCAUAUUCAUGGGGCUAAAAAGAUCCAAUAAAAGCUUUGGAGGUGACAGAACAAAGCUAAAGAUCACCCCUCAGAAUCUUGGUGUCUCUUUGAAGAGCAUGGGCAUGAUGAACGAAAGGCUUGCGGAUCCUCUCCACUUGCUUGGACAUGGAUUUGCAGCGGCACUCUCUGCAGGCAAUGCAAUAUUUCCCCAGCCAUCCGACUCAGAUAUCUCGCACAUUGUGGUGGUACCUCAUCUGCAGUGGCAACUCAGCGUAGCCACCAAGGAAAGCAUCCUCCAUCCACCAACAAAAGAUGAAUGAUUGAUCUGAUGCCAAGCAGUGUUUGUUGUCUUCGAGUGAGAUAUUCGAGUCACUCGAGCACUUCUCAUAGUUCUUUUAGGUGAGAGGAAAGUCGUACAAUGUGCUUUGCCAUCUCCUCCGUGGAGAAGGUGAGUCGUACGUAUACAACUUAGCAGCGUCUCUUUCUGUGGGUGCUACGAGACUGUGUGCCGGAGCUGAUCACAGUAAUCUGCAGAUACGACUCCUCUCAUGGUAAGAUUUGAAGCAUCACCGAGUGCAGCUGUCAGAUGAUGGAAAAGCUCAAUCACAGUCUCGCCGAGUGCAUUCACCUCAUCACCUCAUUUUCCACAACAAUGCCGUAUUAAUCAAUCCGUUCGGUGGAUGUUAAUUGACAAGCACAAAUUCCAGUGCCACUAAGAUGCUUCUUCAUUCUCCUUUUUGUACAAGUGGGUGUCUUUUCCACAGAGUGACUUCAGUUUCUUCGAUGACAAUCCACUUUAGGCAUCUCUGAUGUCCUCCGCAAGAGGUUUUCCUUCUUUCCCCAGAGACUAUAUUAUUACACUGUGGACCAGAGAUCAGCCAACAAAAACAGCGGAGAAAGCCAAUGGCCGCCAGUCUCCUCUCUAAACAAAAAGAUUAUAGUCUCUCUAAACACGAGAGACUAUUUGUAUCAACAAACGAGUUCAUCAGAGAAAAUGUGUCUUGUACAAGAUUGACAGUUUUCCAUGGAGUGUACAGACUCCUUCAAAAUAUGUACCGCAACCAUAGCAUCCAACUUGA